rnacentral:lncRNA from 1 species
CUCUGCUCCACUGCACUUCUCAGCCACUCUUUACUCAAGGUUUCUUUAUAUUUUGUUUUCUAUUGCUUUGUUAGUUGCUCUCAUUUGUGGUCUUCCUCCCCUUGGUGGGGGCCAGGCACCCCAUGCCUGCGACUUACCUGUGUAGAGCCGCGAGCAGAAGGGGCUGAGAAAACACUAAAGACACCAGAGGGGACAGAAGGAUCACCACUCACUACAUCUAGGAUGGCAGUCGUGAAGGAGAUGUUGACUUGGACGCGGACUUCGAGGCUGAUGACUGGGUGGAAGGCCUUUCUGUUCAACAUUGAAUCCAGAACAGCCGGCUCCACCCUGGGCUGGCCAAACCCAGAGCAGUUGAUGGUGAAAGAACGGCCUUGUCCUGUAGUAGACCCAGUGUGUGAGGUUAUACACAGCUAAGCUAGUUAACAGUAUCAAGUCAGAGGGGGACUGGGCCUUCAAAGAAAUCAACACAAAAAAGAAAGACAUCAGAAUUGUGACUGAGGCGCAUCUGAAGAAGGCCAGGCCUCAAGAUGGAGAAGAAGUGGCCAGGCCCUAAGGGAUAAAGAGUAACUUGAGAUUAUCCUGUAGUUAGCACCACCUGGUCCAGGACAUCCGGAUAGGCUUCUGUCGCCCACCUAGGUGACCAGAGCAUCUGGACCCAUCGCCCCCAAAUGCCUUUGUUUUUCCAUGCACCCUUGCUAUGUGAUUCAUUUCCCUGUUGGAUCAAUGAUAACUAAGUGGCUACACUUGUGAUCCUAUAGGCUGAUGCUAGUUUGACCCACACUUUGCGCACAGUGUGACUUUGCUGUAUAAAUUACCCCUCACAAAUGGCCUCUCUUGGUGGCCACACCCCUAGGGACCCUUCCUAGAAACCCAGGAGCUCUUCUUCUUAUUUCCAAUAAAACUCUCCUAACUUGUUCCUUUGGCUUGCACCUUCAUUCCUUGAUGCUGUGGGACCGAAAACUCGGCACCUUUGUCAUUGAGUGGGUUGGAGUGACAUUUCUCCUCUCUGCAUGGCAAGGCCGUGAUGAGCACUGAUAGGCACUGCUCUGGUCAGGCGUGUUCUGAGUGCUUUAAACAGAUUACUUCCUUCAAUCCUCC